rnacentral:rRNA from 1 species
CCUGCCCCUGACUCUGGGAUAAGCGCUGGAAACGGCGUCUAAUACUGGAUAUGUGACGUGAUCGCAUGGUCUGCGUCUGGAAAGAAUUUCGGUUGGGGAUGGGCUCGCGGCCUAUCAGCUUGUUGGUGAGGUAAUGGCUCACCAAGGCGUCGACGGGUAGCCGGCCUGAGAGGGUGACCGGCCACACUGGGACUGAGACACGGCCCAGACUCCUACGGGAGGCAGCAGUGGGGAAUAUUGCACAAUGGGCGCAAGCCUGAUGCAGCAACGCCGCGUGAGGGAUGACGGCCUUCGGGUUGUAAACCUCUUUUAGCAGGGAAGAAGCGAAAGUGACGGUACCUGCAGAAAAAGCGCCGGCUAACUACGUGCCAGCAGCCGCGGUAAUACGUAGGGCGCAAGCGUUAUCCGGAAUUAUUGGGCGUAAAGAGCUCGUAGGCGGUUUGUCGCGUCUGCUGUGAAAUCCGGAGGCUCAACCUCCGGCCUGCAGUGGGUACGGGCAGACUAGAGUGCGGUAGGGGAGAUUGGAAUUCCUGGUGUAGCGGUGGAAUGCGCAGAUAUCAGGAGGAACACCGAUGGCGAAGGCAGAUCUCUGGGCCGUAACUGACGCUGAGGAGCGAAAGGGUGGGGAGCAAACAGGCUUAGAUACCCUGGUAGUCCACCCCGUAAACGUUGGGAACUAGUUGUGGGGUCCAUUCC